GAUGAACGCUGGCGGAAUGCUUUACACAUGCAAGUCGAACGGCAGCACGGACUUCGGCCUGGUGGCGAGUGGCGAACGGGUGAGUAAUGUAUCGGAACGUGCCCAGUCGUGGGGGAUAACGUAGUGAAAAUUACGCUAAUACCGCAUACGAUCUAUGGAUGAAAGCGGGGGAUCGCAAGACCUCGCGCGAUUGGAGCGGCCGAUAUCAGAUUAGGUAGUUGGUGGGGUAAAGGCCCACCAUGCCAACGAUCUGUAGCUGGUCUGAGAGGACGACCAGCCACACUGGAACGGAGACACGGUCCAGACUCCUACGGGAGGCAGCAGUGGGGAAUUUUGGACAAUGGGCGAAAGCCUGAUCCAGCCAUUCCGCGUGCAGGAUGAAGGCCCUCGGGUUGUAAACUGCUUUUGUACAGAACGAAAAGGUUUCUACUAAUACUAGGAGCUCAUGACGGUACUGUAAGAAUAAGCACCGGCUAACUACGUGCCAGCCGCCGCCGUAA
rnacentral:rRNA from 1 species